GGCGAGAUGGCCGAGUGGUUAUGGCGUGUGGUUCAGGUUAAAGCUGAGCAAAUCUUCCACAUGGAGCAAUCCGCGUGGGUUCGAGUCCCACUCUCGUCA